rnacentral:rRNA from 1 species
AGUGAACGCUGGCGGUAGGCCUAACACAUGCAAGUCGAACGGCAGCACAGUAAGAGCUUGCUCUUACGGGUGGCGAGUGGCGGACGGGUGAGGAAUACAUCGGAAUCUACUUUUUCGUGGGGGAUAACGAAGGGAAACUUACGCUAAUACCGCAUACGACCUACGGGUGAAAGCAGGGGAUAUUCGGACCUUGCGCGAUUGAAUGAGCCGAUGUCGGAUUAGCUAGUUGGCGGGGUAAAGGCCCACCAAGGCGACGAUCCGUAGCUGGUCUGAGAGGAUGAUCAGCCACACUGGAACUGAGACACGGUCCAUACUCCUACGGUAGGCAGCAGUGGGGAAUAUUGGACAAUGGGCGCAAGCCUGAUCCAGCCAUACCGCGUGGGUGAAGAAGGCCUUCGGGUUGUAAAGCCCUUUUGUUGGGAAAGAAAAGCAGCAGGUUAAUACCCCGCUGUUCUGACGGUACCCAAAGAAUAAGCACCGGCUAACUUCGUG